rnacentral:rRNA from 1 species
GUGGGGAAUAUUGCACAAUGGGGGAAACCCUGAUGCAGCGACGCCGCGUGAAGGAAGAAGUAUCUCGGUAUGUAAACUUCUAUCAGCAGGGAAGAUAAUGACGGUACCUGACUAAGAAGCCCCGGCUAACUACGUGCCAGCAGCCGCGGUAAUACGUAGGGGGCAAGCGUUAUCCGGAUUUACUGGGUGUAAAGGGAGCGUAGACGGCAUGGCAAGUCUGAUGUGAAAGGCAGGGGCUCAACUCCUGGACUGCAUUGGAAACUGCCGGGCUUGAGUGCCGGAGGGGUAAGCGGAAUUCCUAGUGUAGCGGUGAAAUGCGUAGAUAUUAGGAGGAACACCAGUGGCGAAGGCGGUCUGCUGGACAGCAACUGACGCUGAGGCGCGAAAGCGUGGGGAGCAAACAGG